UAUAUAAUUAGUUUUUCUUUUAUACUGUUACAAAAUGCCUUUCAAGCUUCUCUUAUAUUUUCAAAAGCUAUAAAACCUAUCAAAAUUAUAAGGACUUAAAUUUAUGUAAUUUUUUUAUUUUUGGAUACUUAAAUAUUCCAUUAAUUAGCUAUAUGUCAUUGAAAUGUUAUAAAUAAUUUUCACAUAUCUACUCUUUGUUCAUUUCAUUUCAGCCUUUAGAAAUAAGAGGGCCAUAUGAUGUGGCAAACCUAGGCUUGCUGUUUGGGCUCUCUGAAAGUGAUGCCAAGGCUGCGGUUUCCACCAACUGCCGAGCAGCGCUUCUCCAUGGAGAAACUAGAAAAACUGCUUUUGGAAUUAUUUCUACAGUGAAGAAACCUCGGCCAUCAGAAGAUGAAGAUUGUCUUCCAGCUUCCAAGAAAGCCAAGUGUGAGGGCUGAAAAGAAUGCCCCAGUCUCUGUCAGCACUCCCUUCUUCCCUUUUAUAGUUCAUCAGCCACAACAAAAAUAAAACCUUUGUGUGAUUUA
rnacentral:sRNA from 1 species